rnacentral:rRNA from 1 species
GACAGAGGUGCCAAGCGUUAGGCGGAAUCACUGGGCUUAAAGCGUGUGUAGGCGGACUUGUAAGUACCUUGUGAAAUCCCACGGCUCAACCGUGGAACUGCUCGGUAUACUGCUUGUCUUGAGCCACUUAGGGGCUGUCGGAACAAACGGUGGAGCGGUGAAAUGCGUAGAUAUCGUUUGGAACGCCAAUGGUGAAAACAGACUGCUGGGGGUGUGCCGACGCUGAGACACGAAAGCCAGGGGAGCAAACGGG